GCUGUCUGUAGUCUUUGCAAGCUCACCCCUCUUUCACCAAUACAGACUUUCAGUCCACUCAGAGGUUUCUCACUAAGACUCUUUAAUGUUUGAGCUGUGAGUGCGCAGACACACACGAUCGCGGGUUUCCAGCUGUAUAAAGUGAUAGCGUGAUAGAAGCACUGGGCGGGAUGGAUAAAUUGGAGUGAUGGAGAGUCAGACAGGGAGUGACAGAUUGGAAUUAUAGGAAGAUUGGUAUGGCUGGGAGUGCCUUACCCAUUCAACAAUAUUGGAAUCCAAACUUAAAGAUUGCAGUUUAUUGAUAAGCCUUCUAUGUGCAAGAGUGUCAAAGGAAACGUAUAAAAGACUGUUAAAUGAUCCCACACAAAUAUUUAAUAGAAGAUUAAAAUAAUUUUUGGAGGCAGCCAAAGAGGAGAAAGUUAUCUCCAGGAAGAAUUUUGAUUUCUUAUGGUGCAAAGCCCCAGUUAUCCCAAUUUUUUACUUUAUC